CCUACGGGAGGCAGCAGUGGGGGAUAUUGCACAAUGGGGGAAACCCUGAUGCAGCGACGCCGCGUGGGCGAAGAAGUAUUUCGGUAUGUAACGCACUAUCAGCAGGGAAGAAGAAAUGACGGUAUCUGAUUAAGAAGCACCGGCUAAAUACGUGCCAGCAGCCGCGGUAAUACGUAUGGUGCAAGUGUUAUCCGGAUUUACUGGGUGUAAAGGGAGCGCAGGCGGCACGGCAAGCCUGAUGUGAAAGCCCGCGGCCCAACCGCGGGACUGCAUUGGGAACUACCGGGCUGGAGUGCCGGAGAAGUAGGCGGAAUUCCUAGUGUAGCGGUGAAAUGCGUAGAUAUUACGAAGAACACCAGUGGCGAAGGCGGCCUACUGGACGGUGACUGACGCUGAGGCUCGAAAGCGUGGGGAGCGAACAGGAUUAGAUACCCGAGUAGUC
rnacentral:rRNA from 1 species